AGGCUUUGAUCCUGGCUCAGAUUGAACGCUGGCGGCAUGCCUUACACAUGCAAGUCGAACGGCAGCACGGGAGCUUGCUCCUGGUGGCGAGUGGCGAACGGGUGAGUAAUACAUCGGAACGUGCCCAGUAGUGGGGGAUAGCUCGGCGAAAGCCGGAUUAAUACCGCAUACGACCUACGGGUGAAAGCGGGGGACCGUAAGGCCUCGCGCUAUUGGAGCGGCCGAUGUCUGAUUAGCUAGUUGGCGGGGUAAAAGCCCACCAAGGCGACGAUCAGUAGCUGGUCUGAGAGGACGAUCAGCCACACUGGAACUGAGACACGGUCCAGACUCUACGGGAGGCAGCAGUGGGGAAUUUUGGACAAUGGGCGAAAGCCUGAUCCAGCAAUGCCGCGUGUGCGAAGAAGGCCUUCGGGUUGUAAAGCACUUUUGUCAGGGAAGAAAUCUUUCGGGCUAAUACCCCUGGAAGGAUGACGGUACCUGAAUGAAUAAGCACCGGCU
rnacentral:rRNA from 1 species